GACAGAGGAUGCAAGCGUUAUCCGGAAUGAUUGGGCGUAAAGCGUCUGUAGGUGGCUUUUCAAGUCCGCCGUCAAAUCCCAGGGCUCAACCCUGGACAGGCGGUGGAAACUACCAAGCUGGAGUACGGUAGGGGCAGAGGGAAUUUCCGGUGGAGCGGUGAAAUGCGUAGAGAUCCGGAGGAACGCCAGCGGCGAAGGCGGCAUCCUGGACUGGUCCUGACACUCAUGAGCGAAAGCGUGGGGAGCGAUCCGG
rnacentral:rRNA from 1 species